rnacentral:rRNA from 2 species
ACAGUCAGGAGGUUGGCUUAGAAGCAGCCAUCCUUUAAAGAAAGCGUAAUAGCUCACUGAUCGAGUCGUCCUGCGCGGAAGAUGUAACGGGGCUAAGCGAUAAACCGAAGCUGCGGGUGUGCACUUUGUGCACGCGGUAGGAGAGCGUUCUGUAAGCCUGCGAAGGUGGCUUGUAAAGGCUGCUGGAGGUAUCAGAAGUGCGAAUGCUGACAUGAGUAGCGAUAAAGGGGGUGAAAAGCCCCCUCGCCGUAAGU